UGGGGAAUAUUGCACAAUGGGCGAAAGCCUGAUGCAGCAACGCCGCGUGAGGGACGACGGCCUUCGGGUUGUAAACCUCUUUUAGCAAGGAAGAAGCGAAAGUGACGGUACUUGCAGAAAAAGCGCCGGCUAACUACGUGCCAGCAGCCGCGGUAAUACGUAGGGCGCAAGCGUUAUCCGGAAUUAUUGGGCGUAAAGAGCUCGUAGGCGGUUUGUCGCGUCUGCUGUGAAAACCCGAGGCUCAACCUCGGGCCUGCAGUGGGUACGGGCAGACUAGAGUGCGGUAGGGGAGAUUGGAACUCCUGGUGUAGCGGUGGAAUGCGCAGAUAUCAGGAAGAACACCGAUGGCGAAGGCAGAUCUCUGGGCCGUAANNNGCUGAGGAGCGAAAGGGUGGGGAGCAAAACAGGCUUGNAUACCCUGGUAGUCCACCCCGUAAACGUUGGGAACUAGUUGUGGGGUCCAUUCCACGGAUUCCGUGACGCAGCUAACGCAUUAAGUUCCCCGCCUGGGGAGUACGGCCGCAAGGCUAAAACUUGAAAUGAAUUGACGGGGUCAUAGCUGUUUCCU
rnacentral:rRNA from 1 species